AACGUAGGGUGCAAGCGUUGUCCGGAAUUAUUGGGCGUAAAGAGCUCGUAGGCGGUUUGUUGCGUCGGCUGUGAAAUCCCGAGGCUCAACCUCGGGUCUGCAGUCGAUACGAGCAAACUAGAGUGUUGCAGGGGAGACUGGAAUUCCUGGUGUAGCGGUGAAAUGCGCAGAUAUCAGGAGGAACACCGGUGGCGAAGGCGGGUCUCUGGGCAACAACUGACGCUGAGGAGCGAAAGCCAGGGGAGCAAACGGG
rnacentral:rRNA from 1 species